CCUACGGGCGGCAGCAGUGGGGAAUAUUGGACAAUGGGGGGAACCCUGAUCCAGCCAUGCCGCGUGCGUGAAGAAGGCCCUCGGGUUGUAAAGCACUUUCAGUGAGGAAGAACGCCUGGUGGUUAAUACCCAUCAGGAAAGACAUCACUCACAGAAGAAGCACCGGCUAACUCCGUGCCAGCAGCCGCGGUAAUACGGAGGGUGCGAGCGUUAAUCGGAAUUACUGGGCGUAAAGCGCGCGUAGGUGGCUUGAUAAGCCGGUUGUGAAAGCCCCGGGCUCAACCUGGGAACGGCAUCCGGAACUGUCAAGCUAGAGUGCAGGAGAGGAAGGUAGAAUUCCCGGUGUAGCGGUGAAAUGCGUAGAGAUCGGGAGGAAUACCAGUGGCGAAGGCGGCCUUCUGGACUGACACUGACACUGAGGUGCGAAAGCGUGGGUAGCAAACAGGAUUAGAUACCCCAGUAGUC
rnacentral:rRNA from 1 species